AUUGAACGCUGGCGGCAGGCCUAACACAUGCAAGUCGAGCGGAUGAAGGGAGCUUGCUCCUGGAUUCAGCGGCGGACGGGUGAGUAAUGCCUAGGAAUCUGCCUGGUAGUGGGGGAUAACGUCCGGAAACGGGCGCUAAUACCGCAUACGUCCUGAGGGAGAAAGUGGGGGAUCUUCGGACCUCACGCUAUCAGAUGAGCCUAGGUCGGAUUAGCUAGUUGGUGGGGUAAAGGCCUACCAAGGCGAAGAUCCGUAACUGGUCUGAGAGGAUGAUCAGUCAGACUGUAUGUGAGACUCAGACGAGACUCCGACAGGAGGCACCAUUGGGGAAUAUUGCAGGAUGUGUGAGAGGCGAAUCUUGCAAUAUGGGGGGUGUGAUGAUAGUCUUAUGACUCUUGAGUACUUUAAGUUUCGGGGUAGUACAGCUAGUUUAUACCGGACUGUAAUGACCUUACCAACAGAAUAAGCUCCGGCUAACUUCGUG
rnacentral:rRNA from 1 species